rnacentral:rRNA from 1 species
CGUGCGCAGCUUACACAUGCAGUCGAACGAAAUCUUCGGAUUUAGUGGCGGACGGGUGAGUAACGCGUGAGAAUCUGGCUCUAGGUCUGGGACAACCACUGGAAACGGUGGCUAAUACCGGAUGUGCCCAUGGGUGAAAGGUUAACUGCCUAGAGAUGAGCUCGCGUCUGAUUAGCUAGUUGGAAGUGUAAUGGACUCCCAAGGCGACGAUCAGUAGCUGGUCUGAGAGGACGAUCAGCCACACUGGGACUGAGACACGGCCCAGACUCCUACGGGAGGCAGCAGUGGGGAAUUUUCCGCAAUGGGCGAAAGCCUGACGGAGCAAUACCGCGUGAGGGAGGAAGGCUCUUGGGUCGUAAACCUCUUUUCUCAGGGAAGAACACAAUGACGGUACCUGAGGAAUAAGCAUCGGCUAACUCCGUGCCAGCAGCCGCGGUAAUACGGAGGAUGCAAGCGUUAUCCGGAAUGAUUGGGCGUAAAGCGUCCGCAGGUGGCAAUGUAAGUCUGCUGUUAAAGAGUCUAGCUCAACUAGAUAAGAGCAGUGGAAACUACAUAGCUAGAGUACGUUCGGGGCAGAGGGAAUUCCUGGUGUAGCGGUGAAUUGUGCGUAAAAAAAAAGUACUAGAAUAUGUAGUGUAGCGGUGAAAUGCGUAGAACUA